rnacentral:rRNA from 1 species
CGCCGCGGUAAUUCCAGCUCCAAUAGCGUAUAUUAAAGUUGUUGCAGUUAAAAAGCUCGUAGUUGAAUUUCGGGGUCUGUCCGUCGGUCGGGCUUCACGGUCCGUACUGGUGUGAUGGGUUCCUACCUUCUGAAUAACCGGCAUGCCAUUCAGUUGGUGCGCCGGGGAAGCAGAGCUAUUACCUUGAAAAAAUUAGAGUGCUUAAAGCAGGCUAGUGCUUGAAUAGAUUAGCAUGGAAUAAUAAAAUAGGACGGCAUGGUUCUAUUUUGUUGGUUUCUAGGAUCACCGUAAUGAUUAAUAGGGAUAGUUGGGGGCAUUAGUAUUCAAUUGUCAGAGGUGAAAUUCUUGGAUUUAUUGAAGACUAACUUCUGCGAAAGCAUUUGCCAAGGAUGUUUUCAUUAAUCAAGAACGAAAGUUAGGGGAUCGAAGACGAUCAGAUACCGUCGUAGUCUUAACCAUAAACUAUGCCGACUAGGGAUCGGACGAUGUUAAUUUUUUAAUGACUCGUUCGGCGCCUUACG